AGUGAACGCUGGCGGUAGGCCUAACACAUGCAAGUCGAACGGCAGCACAGUAAGAGCUUGCUCUUACGGGUGGCGAGUGGCGGACGGGUGAGGAAUACAUCGGAAUCUACUUUCUCGUGGGGGAUAACGUAGGGAAACUUACGCUAAUACCGCAUACGACCUACGGGUGAAAGCAGGGGAUCUUCGGACCUUGCGCGAUUGAAUGAGCCGAUGUCGGAUUAGCUAGUUGGCGGGGUAAAGGCCCACCAAGGCGACGAUCCGUAGCUGGUCUGAGAGGAUGAUCAGCCACACUGGAACUGAGACACGGUCCAGACUCCUACGGGAGGCAGCAGUGGGGAAUAUUGGACAAUGGGCGCAAGCCUGAUCCAGCCAUACCGCGUGGGUGAAGAAGGCCUUCGGGUUGUAAAGCCCUUUUGUUGGGAAAGAAAAGCAGCAGGUUAAUACCCCGCUGUUAUGACGGUACCCAAAGAAUAAGCACCGGCUAACUUCGUG
rnacentral:rRNA from 1 species